AAUUAACUUAGGAUAAGAGGAAUUUGGUUACCACCACUGUAUGGCACAGUUAAUUGAUAUAUGUAUAUAUAGAGUUCGGCUAUUAUAUUCUUAUGAGUACGAUCAAUCUCGUAUUUAUAAGUCGUUUUCAACGAUAAAACUUAUGAAUCGACGAUCCAUAUCGUUAAAUAUUAUCUAGAGUAUUUAAAAUUUCUAAAAAUUAAAUUUUAUAAUUUUUCGACAUCAUUUAUCUUCUAUUAAUUUUUGUGAUUGUGAUUCAACUUCUCAUGUCAAUGGGAAAGCUGGUGUUGGUUACGAUCUACAGGCACUAAUUGGGAGGAUUAAGUUACUCUCCAUGCACUUAGGCCACGUGAAUAAAUAUCAAACUAUAGCUGUUUGGGUAGCUGAGGAGUGUAAAAUCUCGACUAAUUAAGCUUGAUUGUGUACGCAUGCUUUGGUUAUAUAUAUAUAUAUAUAGGGUCCGGCUACUAUACUAUUAUGAGUACGAUCGCCCUCGUACUCAUAAGUUGUUUUCGAUGAUAAAGCUUCCGAAUUGACGAUCCACACCGUUAAACGUUAUUUACAGCAUUUAAAACUUCUAGAAAUCAAAUUUUAUAAUUUUUUGACAUCAUUUACUUUACGAUCAAGAGGUCACAAAUUUGACAAUUUUUAACGGCCGGUAUGAGAUACUUGCUAGUUUAACGGUGUAAAAGAAUCGGAAGUUGUUGAAUUUUUGAUAGAAAAUUCUAUUCACUACAUAGAUAAAGAUCAAUAACUCCGAUCUUGAUUCGAAGGAUCCGAUCAUUCUUUUUUAGGACGUCGUUCGAUUUUGACCAUUCAUUUUAUGCCCACUUGAUGGACUUUAUUAUGAUUUUGAAAAUUUACGAAAUUUAUUUUCUAGAAAUUUCAAAUACUCUAGAUCAUAUUUAAUGGAGUGAAUCGUCGAUUCGGAAGCUCCAUCAUUGGAAACAACUUAUGAGUACGAGGGCUCCAAUACUCAUAAUAGUAUAGUAGCCAUGGCCAUAUAUAUAUAUAUAUAUAUAUAUAUAGAGAGAGAGAGAGAGAGAGAGAGAGAGAGAGAGAGAGAGAGAGAGAGAGAGAGAGAGAUAAA
rnacentral:lncRNA from 1 species